UACGUAGGGGGCAAGCGUUAUCCGGAAUCACUGGGCGUAAAGGGUGCGUAGGUGGCUCAUCAAGCCAGAGGUGAAAGGCAUUGGCUCAACCAAUGUAAGCCUUUGGAACUGACGAGCUUGAGUGCAGGAGAGGUAAGUGGAAUUCCUAGUGUAGAGGUGAAAUUCGUAGAUAUUAGGAGGAACACCAGUGGCGAAGGCGACUUACUGGACUGUAACUGACACUGAGGCACGAAAGCGUGGGGAGCGAACAGG
rnacentral:rRNA from 2 species